AUUGAACGCUGGCGGCAGGCCUAACACAUGCAAGUCGAACGAGUGGCGGACGGGUGAGUAAUGUCUGGGAAACUGCCCGAUGGAGGGGGAUAACUAAUGGAAACGGUAGAUAAUACCGCAUACCAUCAGAUGUGCCCAGAUGGGCUUAGCUAGUAGGUGGGGUAAUGGCUCACCUAGGCGACGAUCCCUAGCGGGUCUGAGAGGAUGACCAGCCACACUGGAACGUAGACACGGUCCAGACUCCUACGGGAGGCAGCAGUGGGGAAUAUUGCACAAUGGGCGAAAGCCUGAUGCAGCCAUGCCGCGUGUAUGAAGAAGGCCUUCGGGUUGUAAAGUACUUUCAGCGGGGAGGCGUUACCCGCAGAAGAAGCACCGGCUAACUCCGUGCCAGCAGCCGCGGUAAUUC
rnacentral:rRNA from 1 species